GACGAACGCUGGCGGCGUGCCUAAUACAUGCAAGUCGAACGCAGUGGGGACGGGGGAGUAACACCUGGGUAACCUCCCAUCAGAGGGGAUAACACUUGGAAACAGGUGCUAAACCGAUAUUGAUGUAUGGACCCGCGGUGCAUUAGCUAGUUGGAGAGGUAACGGCUCACCAAGGCGACGAUGCAUAGCCGACCUGAGAGGGUGAGCGGCCACACUGGAACUGAGACACGGCCCAGACUCCUACGGGAGGCAGCAGUAGGGAAUCUUCGGCAAUGGACGAAAGUCUGACGCAGCAACGCCGCGUGAAUGAAGAAGGGCUUCGGAUCGUAAAACUCUGUUGUUAGAGAGGCGGUAUCUAACCAGAAAGCCACGGCUAACUACGUGCCAGCAGCCGCGGUAAUUC
rnacentral:rRNA from 1 species